AUUAAAGAUAUUACGGAGCAUGAUAAAUCCUUGGUGGCCUCCGCACAAAACAGGACGAAUUGGAAUUUCAUUGGAAAAAUCAUUACAAAUAACGAUUUGGAAGCUGGGCAACAAUUGCUCUUUUAGAGACGUCAGCGAUCGUUUUGAUGUAGCAAUUGGCCUAGCAUAUAAAAUUUUUGUUAAAAUAAUAAAAAUGAUCUGCCGCUUAAAGGGAGAUGUUAUAAAAUUUCCAAAAACUGCAGCUGAACAAAAGCAAAUCAGUGAAGAAUUUUCAAUUCUGCGCUUCAAUUCAUUCCCCUUUGUUCUAGGGUGCGUUGUUGGAACACAUGUUCCAAUUUCACAACCAAUCAAAGAUGAAAUCAGUUAUCGUAACCGAAAGGGAACAUACUCAAUCCUCGCUCAAGCUAUUGUCGACAGUCGCAUGAAAUUCAUAGAUGUAUUUAUUGGUUGCCCUGGUGCAUGCCAUUACGCAUCGGUAUGGCAAAUGAGUUCUAUCAGGAAGGCCAUAAUUAAUAAAGAAAUUAAUAUUUA